ACGAACGCUGGCGGCGUGCUUAACACAUGCAAGUCGCACGGAAAGGCCCUGCUUUUGUGGGGUGCUCGAGUGGCGAACGGGUGAGUAACACGUGAGUAACCUGCCCUUGACUUUGGGAUAACUUCAGGAAACUGGGGCUAAUACCGGAUAGGAGCUCCUGCUGCAUGGUGGGGGUUGGAAAGUUUCGGCGGUUGGGGAUGGACUCGCGGCUUAUCAGCUUGUUGGUGGGGUAGUGGCUUACCAAGGCUUUGACGGGUAGCCGGCCUGAGAGGGUGGCCGGCCACAUUGGGACUGAGAUACGGCCCAGACUCCUACGGGAGGCAGCAGUGGGGAAUAUUGCACAAUGGGCGGAAGCCUGAUGCAGCAACGCCGCGUGCGGGAUGACGGCCUUCGGGUUGUAAACCGCUUUCGCCUGUGACGAAGCGUGAGUGACGGUAAUGGGUAAAGAAGCACCGGCUAACUACGUG
rnacentral:rRNA from 1 species